CUGGGAUUACAGGCUUGAGCCACCGCGCCCGGCCUUCAUUGACCUGUUCUAAAUUUUUUAUGCAUUCAUUCUGAUACUGUGUGAAAGUGAUUAAUUUACUGGGGACAUUUGCAUUAAUAAAAAUGCAAUCCUAGGUAGCUGCUGCUUUCCAGGGACCACAGGUGCUUUCUCAUGGCAGGAGCAUAGAGUGGAAGGUGAUGGCUGGUGGAUGAUAUAGUGGGCAAGGCCUGUGGAAGCUGUUCCUGCUGCUCUUAGACUUGUGCUAGAGUUCUAAGCAUGAUCAGACUGGGCUUUAGAAAGCUCAUCUCUGGUGGUGGUUGGAGAGUGGAACAGUGCAGCAAAGACAGGCAUUCAGUCAGGAGGUCCCAUUACUCUGCGAUCAGCCUUAGGAAGGCCAACAUUCAAACACUGGGGUGGCCCUGCCACUGGCCCUUCAUCAUCUAGACCAGUAGUUUUCAAACCUUAAAGUGUUUACAGAUCAUCUGAGGAGAUUCUGAUUCAGUUGCUGGAGUGGGGCGUGAAAUUCUGCAUUUCCAGUUGUCUCCCAGGUGGUGCUGGAUCUCUGGACUACCAGAAGCAGCUGGAGUACCUGCUUUUGGAAGAACUGGGAACCAGCCAAAUCCAGCAAAUUCGGGCCUAGAAUUCAGUGCAGAGGCCUAGGAAGGUUACCAAGUUAUUAGCUUAAGAUUCAGAGUAAAAAUGGAGUGAGCUGCAAGGCUGACUGAUGCAGAGCUCUUCGGAACUGGGGCUCUCCAUGCCCUGUUGUGUCCCCUGCCUGAUGGAAGGAAAAGUGGAUGCUUAGUGGUUGGGUGGAAACUAAGUAAGCCUGGAGUAGGAAUUGGAGGGCAAGCAGGCUUGAUGGUGUGGAGAACCUGCCGAGCUACAGGUCUUUCAGCCGGUUCAGAGUCCUGGUUUCUUAACCUGACACUGACCCGUCCUAUUUUUGGCUGUGAUCUCUCCUUGUACUUCACGGCCAGAGCCGGAGGUGCUGUCCAGUCUGAGCUGGGGCACAGGCCAUUGACCUGGGGCUGCAGAGACCCAGAUGCUGGUUGAGGAAAAUGGAAAAUAACUGGUUCUGCAGGUACCUAUUUAUUAUUCUUUAAUUAUUUACAGAUUACAACCUCUGGCUCAAGGAAAAGUGUCAUUUACAUUAUGUUAAAAAGAUGUCAACGCUGUGUUUGCACAGAAAAGACAAUUUUGAAAAAUGCAGAAAAUUAAGAGAGAAAAAAUUUACCCAGAUUCCGCUAUCGACAGAAAACGUCUAAACAUUUAUUGUUUUGUUUUAUCCUCUAGUCAUUUGUUUGUAUAUGAAUAAGUGACUUUUUGAAAAAAUAUAUUUUGUAA